ensembl:rRNA 5S_rRNA 5S ribosomal RNA
AUCUAUGGCUAUCCCACCCUGGAAGUACAGGUCUUGUCUGAUCUCAGAAGCUAAGCUGGGUUGGCCCCAGUUAAUACUUGAAUGAAAGACCACCUGGCAGUUCUGGGGGCUGUAGGCU